GCUGUCGAUCUCACUCCACUAUUUCACACCGUCCUCUGCUCUGUUGCAGGCACAGGCAUCAUGGCACAUGUAUGGGGAUGCGUGUCAGGAGACAAUGUUUUUGAAAUUGGUUCUCUCCUUGUACCUUCUCCUGGAGUCCUGAGAUCAAACCCAGGUCCUCUGGCUUAGACUGGCAUGGCCAAUAUCUUCUCCUGCUAAGAGCUCACUGGCCCAUUAUCAUCUUCUAAAAGAGUCCCUAUGUUUCAGAGCUGUACUCUGAAAUAUCUCUGUGCAGAAGCUGGCCAGGAACUCUUUUAUCUAUUUAGACUAUAUUGACUUUGGCCUCAGUUUUCCUUCACCAGACUAUGAGUACUGGGGUUGAAGGCAUGAACCACCACACUCAGGUGUACGCCCUUCCUUCUUUUGUGUAAGAUUCCUUAUGUAUAUGCAUAUGUAUCACGUGUCUGCCUCAUGCUCACUGGAAUUAAAGGCAGUGUUGAGCUGCGAUGCAGGAAAUCCAACCAGGUGAUCUGAAGUGUUUCAACCAUUCAGCCAUAACUAUAGUUUCCAUGUAUCCUUACCACAGAAUAUGAAAGUGCCCCUAUGAGUCCCUUUUGUCCCCAUCCCAGCCUUCUGAGUGUCUAGAAUCACAAGUUGGAGCCCCCAAACCCAGUGUGGCCACCCUUUAACAUGGUUUGUUGUAAGUCAUCAGGAAUGCUCUGUUCUAGGAUCACUGGGCACCAGCACACCCUUCAGUUUCUGUGUCAAAAAAAAAUUCAAAAAACCAUAAAGUAAUAAACUUCAACACACUGAGAAAAAUUCAGUGUAUUCUAUAUAUUUAACAACUGAACAGAGACCGCUGGCCCCAAUUAAGAAAGCUUACCCAUAUGAAUUCUUCUCUUUUUCUGAUACAUGUAUAGACAUGCAGAUACAUGGCUUCCCAGGGAAAAUUCCAGCAUCUGUGUCUUGUCGGGCUCCAUGGUCUCUCCUUGACUGUAUCCUUUUUUCCUCCAGCAUUCAAUUUAGUUUUCCUUUAUUAGCUCUGUUCCCCUAUAGCUCUGCUAUAGGCCCAAAACAGUUCCUUAAUUAAGGAAUGAUAUUCAUAGCAUACAGAGGCAAAACUCACAUCAGAAAAAGAGACAUAGACAGACGAACAAAGAGAGAAGCAAAGAAAGAAAGAAAGAAAGAAAGAAAGAAAGAAAGAAGAAAGAAAUGACAAAAGAAAGAAAGAAAAUAGAAGAAAGAAAGAAAAAUAGAAAGAAAGAAAGAAAAUAGAAGAAAGAAAGAAACGCAGGACUGAGAAAGUGUUGGUUGUAAGGUGUAUAUUUUGCCUUACAGGGGUCCUUGGAUGUCCUUCAAAGUCUGGAUGAUGACCCCCUUCUGGACACCCAGCCUCUAGCACACCACUCCUUAAGUGCUCACUUUAGACCCAGAUUCCAUCCUCUUCCCUUGGUCAUCGCGAAUCUUCUGUUGUUUAUACAUGAGUAUUUCAAGACUAGAAGAAAUUGUUGAAAAGCAGGGAGACCUAAUCAUAUAUCUGAAGAGACACAACACCCUGCUCAGUAAGCAGAUGUUGGACUUCGUUCUCAGCCAGCUAGGACCUGAGAGACUCCUGGGUAUGACAGCUAUCAAAUCCUCAGUAACUCCAGACUGCACCAAGUUACUUCCACAGUGUGUGAUGGGAACAUGAGCUUUGCAUGGUUACACACAUGGGAAACUUGACAAUAUUUUGUAUGGUUUGAAAUAAUUUAACUGCUUAACUCUUUGGGAAUUUAAGAACUAUGGAAUAAUGUAGCUCUUUGUAAAGCAAGUGUGCCAUGACAGUGUGCUGUAAAUAGUGUUUCAAACCAGUCCGUUCUUGCCACAGUCAACUGCUGAGAGAAGACAUAGUUCCUGGUGCUCCUGUUUUCUUCUACAGUCUCACGGGCAGUUUUGUAUGAGUGAGGGCAGAUCAGGUGAGGGAAAGAUCAGAUGUGUUGUUGUUUUCUUGCUUGUUUGUUCUCCAGAGCUGGGGGGCGAAACCAAUGCCUCACACAGAAUGAGCAAACACUCUGCCUCUGAGUCAGUUUUACCAGGAUUUCCUUCUGCUGCUCAUGGUGACUCACACCUGUAGUCCCAGCUCCUGAAAAGCUGAGGCAAGAGAAUCACCACCAGCUUGAAGCCAGCUGAUGUCUAGUACACAGAAUGAGACCUUUCUCAAAAGCACUGAGCACUUUCCUCAGUAUAGGACCGAUCUCACCAGGACAUAUACGGUGGCCUUUCGGCUGUGUGUAGUUGAGAAAUACAGUGUGAAGGAUCCUGGGACAGCGGGAGACCCAGUGGAGAGGGGUGACACCUGCUAUGUUUGGAGAGUGCUGGCUGGCAAGAGGUGUAAGAAAUCAUCUGUCAUUUAGUGUAUCGUUGCUCUUCUUCAGGGACUUGCCAUAGAUCCCUGUGCUACACUUUGAUUUACAGCAACUUCAAUUAGCUGAGCAUGGUGGCCCACAGCUGUCAUCCUAGUACUUGGGAGGCAGACACAGGAAGUUCAAGACUAACCUGGUCCAAAUAGUGAGUUUCAGGCUGGCCAGAGCUACAAAGUCAUCCUUUUCCCUCUCGCCCAAUUCCUCUGCUAGCCCAGCCUGUUCCCAGGCCUAUAAAAUCAAAGUGUGGAGAGUCCAGAGCUGGCAUCCUCCUCCACUGCAGAGUGAGUCAGAGGACAGCUUGCAACAACAGAAGACGCUACCGGAUGCUAACUUAAAAUGGGAUAUUUUCACCUCUGCCCAGCCCCUGACAGCCAAGCAGGAAUCAGAGCCUUUGGGGCAAGGAAAAAUGCAGACUAGAACACCUGUGUGCAUGAGUAUUGCUACUCAUGGCCUCAGCAGGGGUGCUCUGCGGGCAUUUACUGCUUGAGGACUAGCGCACAUUUCUACAUUAUUUUUAUGUGUGUGAGUGUUUUGCCUGCAUCUUGUACACAUAUGUAUGCACUUGGGAAUGUCUAAUCCCUACGAUGGACAGAAGAGGGCAUCUGAUUCCGUGGAACCAGAAUAGAUUCCUGGAACUCAAAGUUCAGGGAGAGAACCAAACCCAGCAAGUUCUCCUGUGGCCUUCACUUGACUGUCAUGGCACAGGGUCCACCCAUAAACACACACAUAAAUGUAAUUUUAAUGAAGAUGACUUCUGGACCCGAGUGACGGCUCAAUUGGUAGACAGCCUGCUUGCCUUGUAAGCAUGAGGCCCUGGGCUCUUUCCACAGUGCCUACAGGUCAGGAUGGUAGCACAGGCCUAUAAUCCCAGUACUUGGGAGAUGGGACCAGGAAAUGCAAAAAGCCACAACCACCCCUAACUCCCUAAAGCAAGAAACCAGAUUCUCCUAAUUCUGCCUCCUAAGGAUAGAAAUGAGCCAUGAGCCACCAAGCCUGGACAUUAAAGAUCUACAUAUAGGGGGAUGGAGAGAUAGCUCAGCAGUUUGGAGCACUAGGGCUGUUUCCAUGAGGUGUUGAGUUCAAUUUCCCCACCCUCAUGGUGGCUGACAACCAUCUGUAGUGGGAUCUAUUUCUUCUGGUAAAGCCAUACAUGCAGAUAGAGAACUCAUAUACAUAGAAACAAUAAAGGAAUAUUGUUUUUAAAAGAAAAUUAAGUGAGAUGUAUGAGAAGGCAAGAGUAAUAGCUAUACACCCCGAGGAUGGAGUCAUUUUCUUUUUAUUAAAAUUUAAUGGAUAAAAUCAGUACAUUCAUGGGAACUUUGUCACAUUUCAACAUGUAGUGUUCAAAUAGCAGGUGACAACUACCUUUUCAACAGUUUGUCUCCCCUCUGGUGACAUCAUCUCAGAUUCUCUCACCCAGCAUUUUCCUCCUCUCCCUUCUUUCCCUUCUCUACCAUGAACCAAUCAGGGCCUGAGAAGGCUCACAGGGUAAAAGUGCUUCCCAUUGCUGACCUGAUGACCUCAGUGCUGAAGGCAAUCCAGGGCCAUGUGAUGGAGAAAUCGUGACCCUCAACUGUGGUCAGUCUGUCUGCUUAUCUGUGUCUACGUGUCUCUGUUACAUAUUCAAACACACAAAUUUUUAAAAAUUGGUUAAAAUGUGCACAAAAACAUAUAGAUACCCAGAGACAUUAGCCUGUAGUCCCGGCUACUGGGGAAGGGGUGUGAAGGGUGAGAAUAACAAAUUCAAGGGUAGCCUGGACACCCUGACAAGACAAUAACAAAUACAAAGGGGUGGAUGCUGUGAGCUCAAUGCGGAUCACCUGCACAGGAGCUCUAGGACCUGAAUCCAAUCCCUAGUGCUGGAUCUGGAAGACAAGGGCAGAAGAAAAGGGAGGGAAGGAGGGAAGAACGGAGCCAGGGCAAGGGAGGGAGACAUGGAGGUUAACAUUGAUGAUCUGAUUACUAAAUCGAAAACUCAGGAGUUUUAAAGGUUUUAGAAUUCUGCAUCUGUUAAUCCAGUUGCUUAUGAAUAUUGCAGGAGUUUCUGAGAUUCUGAGGAAACUGGGGUAUCUUCAAGAACAAAUUUGAAAGGCUGGGCAUUUGUGACUCAGGAGAGCCAUGCAGGAAUCCGAGGUCAGCCUCUGCUUUGUACCAAGUUUAAGGCCAUCCUAGACUGAAUAAGACCCUCUCUGAUAUAAAAUAAAUAAAUAUAUUCUUAAAACUCCCAUCCCAUUAUGAGGUGCGAUGGGCCUGUGAUACAGGGCUGUGAUUUGAACCACCUGGAUGUGCUGAGCCAGGAGGGACAGCAGAUUUAGUUAAGGCUAGUGUGGAUGAUUCCUUAGGACAGUCUCUAAGAUGACAGGGUUGUGUGUGGCUCGAUGGUCCAUUAUUUGCUAGGCAUGGGAUUUAAUAACAAAACUUCUUUCAGAUGUAAGACACAGAAAUUAAAAAAUACAAUUGUUGCCCGAUGUGUUGAUCCAUGGCUGUAACCCAGAGUACAGGAAACUGAGAUAGGCAUGCUGACAGGGUCGGCCUGGACAGCAUAGCAAGUUCCAGACCGAUCUGGGCAACACAGGAAGAACUUGCCUUGAAAAAAGAUGAAUCAAUACAAUAAAAGAGAAUGUGGGUACAGCACUCACACCCAUAAUGCUAUCAAUGAUGUAUAGUCUUGUCCGCAGCUGUACAACCUUGGCGAUCAUCUGGGAUGGGAGCAAGGAGUAUGGAGCCUGAACUAAAUGUCAGAGUUAAGACCACCUGUGGGUUUUCGCCCACCAUCUGAGGCAGAACAUAGCCUAAGAGGUUCUGAAUGACGACUCAGGUAGAAAUAAGGGCAAACAGGCCCAGUGAAAGUAUCCCUGAAAGUAUAGAUGUGAGAUUUCUCAGGCAUGCUAUAGAAGGAGACCUCUCCCAGCUCAUAGUCCAG